CCCCGGGUGACGCAUAUCCCGGGUGACGCUACACAGUGACGCACAAUCAGCUCAGCUCUGGAGGACUUUCCUGCCACGAAAACUCCUCCUGACAUGAAAACUCACAAGCUGCUGGCUCUCCCCCCAUCCUAUGCAGCCAACUCACCUCUCAGGGUGGUGCCUGCCCUGCCACUUAGCAAGAAGGCAGGGGGCACCCAGAGGUCUGAGGAGAAAGAGUCAUCCGUCACUGGGGAGAGAAAUCGUGAAACUUACACCAAGAGUCAGGCUGAUGAGGAAUACAUGGAGACACAUGUGGCAUGA
rnacentral:lncRNA from 1 species